rnacentral:rRNA from 1 species
GUGGGGAAUUUUGGACAAUGGGCGAAAGCCUGAUCCAGCAAUGCCGCGUGUGUGAAGAAGGCCUUCGGGUUGUAAAGCACUUUUGUUCGGGAAGAAAAGGACUGGGCUAAUAUCCUGGUCUGAUGACGGUACCGGAAGAAUAAGCACCGGCUAACUACGUGCCAGCAGCCGCGGUAAUACGUAGGGUGCAAGCGUUAAUCGGAAUUACUGGGCGUAAAGCGUGCGCAGGCGGUUUGUUAAGACAGAUGUGAAAUCCCCGGGCUCAACCUGGGAACUGCAUUUGUGACUGGCAAGCUAGAGUCUGGCAGAGGGGGGUGGAAUUCCGCGUGUAGCAGUGAAAUGCGUAGAUAUGCGGAGGAACACCGAUGGCGAAGGCAGCCCCCUGGGCCAACACUGACGCUCAUGCACGAAAGCGUGGGGAGCAAACAGG